rnacentral:rRNA from 1 species
CGGGAAGCCACCUGGUGACAGGGAGCGGAACCCGAAAGCCUGUCUCAGUUCGGAUUGGAGUCUGCAACUCGACUCCAUGAAGCUGGAUUCGCUAGUAAUCGCGCAUCAGCCAUGGCGCGGUGAAUACGUUCCCGGGCCUUGUACACACCGCCCGUCAAGCCAUGGGAGCCGGGGGUGCCUGAAGUACGUGACCGCGAGGAGCGUCCUAGGGCAAAACUGGUGACUGGGGCUAAGUCGUAACAAGGUAAC